rnacentral:lncRNA from 1 species
UUUUAAAAUUGGUGAUGGAUGAUUUAGCAUGGUUACUGUCUCCUCUGUAGUGAUGUAGGGAUGGACGUGACUCCUGAUGCAGGAGGAAUCCCACCUGAGGGCGGAGUCACCACACACCACAAACACACACACACACAUUUGUUUCACUAUCCUUGUGGGUACCAAAACAUUUAAUCUCAUUCAAAAUCCUAUUAUCCCUAAACCUAAUCUUAACCCCAAACCCUAAAACUAAAUUUAACCCUUACUCCUAACCCUAAAUCUAACUCCUAACCUUAAUUGUAACCCUAGCCCUAAUUAUAAGCCUAACCCUAAACCAAACCCAUAAGCCUUAUAUAGACAUUUUCCUUGUGGGGACUGGCAAAAUGUCUCCACUUUUCCAAAAUGUCCUUGUUUUACCAUCCUUGUGAGGGCUUUUGGUCCCCACAGGUAUAGCAAAACCAAACCCACACACACACACACACACACACACACACACACACACACACACACACACACAAUGUUCUUGUAUCCUCAUGGGGACCUACAAUUCAUUUAUAUUUUAAAUCCUAUUUUCCCUAACCCUAAAACUUACCUUAACCCGUAACCCUAAAACACUAACCCCUUAUCCUUACCCUAAUUCUAACCCCAAUUGUAACACUAACCCUAAACCUAACCCCUAAGCUUAAAAUAGUAUUUGAAAUGUCCCCAUGAGGGAGAGUUUUCCUUGUUUGACUAUCCUUGUGGGGACAAUUGGGGAUUUUAGGUCCCCACGAGGAUAGGAUAACCAACACACACACACACACACACACACACACACACACACACACACACACACACACACACACACACACACACACACACACACACACACACACACACACACACACACCCUGCAGGAGCUGAGUCGCCCCAAGGCGAAGUUUAACCUCCGUAAACUGGACAGCAAGGUGCCCUCCAAGACAUAAACAACUCCAAACGCAUUGAGAACACAAAGGCGGAGUCUGUUGAGGAAGAGGACAGCCACUUCUCCAGUCUGCGCAGGUCUGCGAGUGAAAUCACUUCCUGUCUGGUUGUUCAACUUUGGCAGCCUGCAGCAUCCCAGUUGAAGGGGGAGAAAGGGAGGACGACUAGUCACCCUGAGAGAGCAGAGAAGACUCAGAGGGCUUAUGUCCUAGCCCCAAACCCAGAUCACCCUGAGGACUUCCCUGCCUUAGCUGUGGGGAGAUUCAUUAUUUUACCAAGACUACAAAGGAAUUCCUUUUGUUUGCAUUUGGCUCCUGGUGAAAUGGGUUGCACUUACAUUUGAAAAAAAAAAUCUAUUCUUACACAUUUGGGUGUUAUUUCUCCUCCUGCCUUGUGUUCCUAUGGAAGCACUGAAGGCAAUGUUCAAUAAGCCCUUUGACAAUAGAUGUACUGUUGCAGAUGGCUUGUCUUGUCUUACUUUGUUGCUCUGAAGGACACAACAGACCAACACUAAC